rnacentral:rRNA from 1 species
ACCCGCUGAACUUAAGCAUAUCAAUAAGCGGAGGAAAAGAAACCAACAGGGAUUGCCCUAGUAACGGCGAGUGAAGCGGCAUCAGCUCAAAUUUGAAAUCUGGCUCUUUUAGGGUCCGAGUUGUAAUUUGCAGAGGGCGCUUUGGCAUAGGCAGCGAUUCAAGUUCCUUGGAACAGGACGUCACAGAGGGUGAGAAUCCCGUACGUGGUCGCUAGCUCUUGCCGUGUAAAGCCCCUUCGACGAGUCGAGUUGUUUGGGAAUGCAGCUCUAAAUGGGAGGUAAAUUUCUUCUAAAGCUAAAUAUUGGCCAGAGACCGAUAGCGCACAAGUAGAGUGAUCGAAAGAUGAAAAGUACUUUGGAAAGAGAGUCAAAAAGCACGUGAAAUUGUUGAAAGGGAAGCGCUUGCAGCCAGACUUGCCUGUAGUUGCUCAUCCGGGCUUUUGUCCGGUGCACUCUUCUAUAGGCAGGCCAGCAUCAGUUUGGGCGGUUGGAUAAAGGUCUCUGUCAUGUACCUCUCUUCGGGGAGAACUUAUAGGGGAGACGACAUGCAACCAGCCCGGACUGAGGUCCGCGCAUCUGCUAGGAUGCUGGCGUAAUGGCUGU